rnacentral:ncRNA from 1 species
AUUAGACAAAGGCAAACUAUUCGAAAGAGUAGGACGCAAAGCAUAGGGUCUAAGGGCUAUAUACUAUGAUCGCCUGGCUGCCAAU